rnacentral:rRNA from 1 species
GAUGAACGCUGGCGGCGUGCCUAAUACAUGCAAGUCGAGCGAACAGACGAGGAGCUUGCUCCUCUGACGUUAGCGGCGGACGGGUGAGUAACACGUGGAUAACCUACCUAUAAGACUGGGAUAACUUCGGGAAACCGGAGCUAAUACCGGAUAAUAUAUUGAACCGCAUGGUUCAAUAGUGAAAGACGGUUUUGCUGUCACUUAUAGAUGGAACCGCGCCGCAUUAGCUAGUUGGUAAGGUAACGGCUUACCAAGGCAACGAUGCGUAGCCGACCUGAGAGGGUGAUCGGCCACACUGGAACUGAGACACGGUCCAGACUCCUACGGGAGGCAGCAGUAGGGAAUCUUCCGCAAUGGGCGAAAGCCUGACGGAGCAACGCCGCGUGAGUGAUGAAGGUCUUCGGAUCGUAAAACUCUGUUAUUAGGGAAGAACAAAUGUGUAAGUAACUAUGCACGUCUUGACGGUACCUAAUCAGAAAGCUACGGCUAACUACGUG